rnacentral:lncRNA from 1 species
CUGAGCCAAGCCGAACCGAGCUGCAUUGUGCUGGCCUGGUCAUGCAUCCACCAUAGUUGUUUGAACAUUGCUGGAAAGGACAUGUGAAAAGAAUAUGUCAGAGCCAGCACUGGUUGGCUCGGGUCGGCACAACAGUGUGAAAAGGGCAAUAGUUCAUCCCAGAGGACAAAGCAUACAGCUCAAGACAGAACUGACUGACCUGGCUUCUCCAAAUCCUCAUGCUUCAAACAAAGUCAGAGCCUGGUCCAAGAUCAAACCUGGCGUUACAAAGACCAUCUGUUAGCAAGACAGCACAAACAGAUCUGGGGCUAGGCUACCGCUCUAAUGUUAGUCAUCCCUUCUCUGUGGGGCUCCGGACAGAGACAGACAGACAGAUCUGGGGCUAGGCUACCGCUCUCAUGUUAGUCAUCCCUUCUCUGUGGGGCUCCGGACAGAGACAGACAGACAGACAGACAGAUCUGGGGCUAGGGUACCGCUCUAAUGUUAGUCUUCCCUUCUCUGUGGGGCUCCGGACAGAGACAAGACAGGACAGACGACAGACUGGGGCUAGGUACCGCCUUAAGGUUAGUCUUCCUUCUCUGUGGGGGCUCU